rnacentral:snRNA from 1 species
GUGCUGGCUUCGCCAGCACAUAUACUAAAAUUGGAACAAUACAGAGAAGAUUAGCACGGCCCUGUGCAAGGAUGGCAUGCAAAUUCAUGAAGCAUCCCAUAGUUUU